rnacentral:rRNA from 1 species
CCUACGGGAGGCAGCAGUGAGGAAUAUUGGUCAAUGGGCGGGAGCCUGAACCAGCCAAGUCGCGUGAGGGAAGACGGUCCUAUGGAUUGUAAACCUCUUUUAUAAAGGAAUAAAGUGAGGCACGUGUGCCUUUUUGUAUGUACUUUAUGAAUAAGGAUCGGCUAACUCCGUGCCAGCAGCCGCGGUAAUACGGAGGAUCCGAGCGUUAUCCGGAUUUAUUGGGUUUAAAGGGAGCGUAGAUGGGUUGUUAAGUCAGUUGUGAAAGUUUGCGGCUCAACCGUAAAAUUGCAAUUGAUACUGGCAGCCUUGAGUACAGUUGAGGUAGGCGGAAUUCGUGGUGUAGCGGUGAAAUGCUUAGAUAUCACGAAGAACUCCGAUUGCGAAGGCAGCUUACUAAACUGCCACUGACAUUGAUGCUCGAAAGUGUGGGUAUCAAACAGGAUUAGAUACCCGAGUAGUC